UGGGGAAUAUUGCGCAAUGGGCGAAAGCCUGACGCAGCGACGCCGCGUGAGGGAUGACGGCCUUCGGGUUGUAAACCUCUUUCGCCAGGGACGAAGAGAGAUUGACGGUACCUGGAGAAGAAGCACCGGCUAACUACGUGCCAGCAGCCGCGGUAAUACGUAGGGUGCGAGCGUUGUCCGGAAUUAUUGGGCGUAAAGAGCUCGUAGGCGGUUUGUUGCGUCGGCCGUGAAAACUUCACGCUUAACGUGGAGCUUGCGGUCGAUACGGGCAGACUUGAGUUCGGUAGGGGAGACUGGAAUUCCUGGUGUAGCGGUGAAAUGCGCAGAUAUCAGGAGGAACACCGGUGGCGAAGGCGGGUCUCUGGGCCGAUACUGACGCUGAGGAGCGAAAGCGUGGGGAGCGAACAGGAUUAGAUACCCGCGUAGUCC
rnacentral:rRNA from 1 species